rnacentral:lncRNA from 10 species
GGCCCUGUAACCCCUUUGUUUUGGACAAUUUCUCCCAUUUGGAACUUCUGUAUUUACCUAAUAUCUGUACUCUUAUUGUAUCUAGGAAGUAACUAGCUUGCUUUUGAUUUUACAGGCUCCUAGACAGAAGAGACUUGCCUUGUCUCAAAUGAGACUUUGGACUGUGGACUUUUGAGUUAAUGCUGAAAUGAGUUAAGACUUUGGGGGACCAUUGGGAAGGCAUGAUUGGUUUUAAAAAUGCGAGAACAUGAGAUUUGGAGGGGCUAGGGGUAGAAUGAAAUGGUUUGGCUGUGUCCCCAUCCAAAUCUCAGCUUGAAUUGUGUCUCCCAGAAUUCCCAUGUAUUGUGGGAGGGACCCAGGGGGAGGCAAUUGAAUAAGGCCAGACUUUCCCGUGCUAUUCUUGUGAUAGCAAUUAAGUCUCAUGAGAUCUGAUGGGUUUAUCAGGGGUUUCCACUUUUGUUUCUUUCUCAUUUUUUUCUUGCCACCAUGUAAGAAGUGCCGUUUGCCUCCUACCAUGAUUCUGAGGCCUCCCCAGCCAUGUGGAACUGUAAGUGCAAUUAAACCUCUUUUUCUUUCCAGUCUUGGGUAUGUCUUUAUCAGCAGCGUGAAAAAUGGACUAAUACAGCAAGUAUUUGAAAUAUGUGGAUAGGAAUAAGAAUUUUUGAUUGAGACAAGCGAUGGGAGACCUGGUCCAGCCCUGUCCAUUGUGACCCACACCUCCUCAGGACUGAGCAGAAAGAGCUGCUGCAAUUGCCUGGUGUUAUUAAGACAAUAUGUCUACAGAUUUCAAAAUAAUCCAUUGACUAGAAAAAUUUGCAUCACUAUGGCUUCAAUAGACAAAGUAUUCAAGACAGUGCUUGGAAUUAGUAGCUUUCAUUUAUCCUGCCUACAGGAAGAGGAAGACAAGUUUUAAAUGACAGCUCUUAAAGAUGGUGGCGGAGUCCCAGGAAUGAUGUUGAGAAUCAGGCUGCAUUUCUGAGAAAGCACUCAGAGCUCUUUGCUCUUGUAUACUGCCAAUGUGGAAUCACUUCUAAAUUUGCCUUAAUCCAACUCCUAGGAAAAGGAAGUUUUACCUGCCACAAUGCUCCACACAAAGAAAACCGAGUAAGUCUUGUCAAAGAAGUACUCGGUGGAUGCAGGGCGUUUCUCUUUUUGCCAGCUUCCUUGGCUCAAAUCCCAUGCAAACCAUCUCCCUUCAGCACUAGAGGGAGGUGAUUAACCAUAGAAUCCAAUUAAAAAAAAGAACUAAAAAUCCCUAAUUCUUCUUUUGAAUGAUAAGAGAUUUGGACAAAACAUUUAACUGAAAAACAAUUAUCUCAAAAAAUUUAAAUCCUAGUUGCUUCAUGAGCACUCUAGCACUGGGCCGAACCUCCUUUCUGUACUGUUGAACUGACCUUCUCUUCCCUGCCUCACUCUUACCGAGGUAUAGUCCUUCCUCUCGCUUCUUUGGUGAUUAGCUCAUGUAAUCUAGGAGUGGCUGUAUCAUACUUAUUUUAUUCUAAUUGUUGUCCAACUUUUCCAUUAUUACCACGCAUUUCUUUGAGAAUCAAAAAAGUUUAUUUUAAAAAUAAAUGGAAAGGAUGAUCAAAAUUAGAAGAUACGUAAA